rnacentral:misc_RNA from 1 species
CUCAACUCAAAACUGCGAAAUGUCGAGCUAGAUUAUUGAGGGUCACUUGUAAUCUCAGAAUCUCCUUUUGUGUUGCCAAACCCCCAAUUUUGAUGGAGCUGGAAUGAAUAUUCUUUGAAUUUUAAGCUUGCCUCUUUCAAUGGCUGCCUCUGUGUCACCAUUUUACCUAUCCUUCUCUUUUAGAAAUACCCAUCUCAGAGCCUUGCCUAACCGUUUGAAUACUAGUCCUUAUCCUUCUAUUUCCCAUGACAAACAAGCUCUUUUCAAGUCCAAGCCAUUCUUGGCAUUUCAAACUGUGGAUCUUCCUGGCUAUCGUAUUUUCUCGUCUGCUCCUUUCGCUUUAGCUAGAUCUUCUUCACUUAGGUUUCUUGAUCCUGCAGAUGAUGAAGAAAUAUUGCCGUCCUUUGAGGAAAGGAGAGCCAAAUUUCUGUUUUGGGUUGUGGUUUGGGCUUCUCUUUCUCUUGCUUGGUUUGCAGCUUCUGGGGAUGCUAAUGCAGCUGUCAAUUCCAUCAAAGCCUCCAGCUUUGGGCUAAAGAUUGGCAGCGCUCUUCGAGGUUCGGGUUGGCCUGAUGAAGCUGUGGUGUUUGCUCUUGCUACGCUUCCAGUGCUUGAGCUCCGUGGAGCUAUUCCUGUUGGUUAUUGGAUGCAACUUAAGCCUCUAACGCUAACUGUCUUAUCGAUUAUUGGGUUAGCCUCUCUUUGCUUAUUACGGUCAAUGC